AUACGGAGGGUCCAAGCGUUAUCCGGAAUCAUUGGGUUUAAAGGGUUCGUAGGCGGGUCAAUAAGUCAGAGGUGAAAUCUUGCAGCUUAACUGUAAAAUUGCCUUUGAAACUGUUGACCUUGAAUUACUGUGAAGUGGUUAGAACAUGUAGUGUAGCGGUGAAAUGCUUAGAGAUUACAUAGAAUACCGAUUGCGAAGGCAGAUCACUAACAGUAUAUUGACGCUGAUGAACGAAAGCGUGGGUAGCGAACGGAAUUAGAAACCCCGGUAGUCC
rnacentral:rRNA from 1 species